GCCCUAGUAACGGCGAGUGAAGCGGCAACAGCUCAAAUUUGAAAUCUGGCGUCUUUGGCGUCCGAGUUGUAAUUUGCAGAGGGCGCUUUGGCAUUGGCAGCGGUCCAAGUUCCUUGGAACAGGACGUCACAGAGGGUGAGAAUCCCGUACGUGGUCGCUAGCCUUUACCGUGUAAAGCCCCUUCGACGAGUCGAGUUGUUUGGGAAUGCAGCUCUAAAUGGGAGGUAAAUUUCUUCUAAAGCUAAAUACUGGCCAGAGACCGAUAGCGCACAAGUAGAGUGAUCGAAAGAUGAAAAGCACUUUGGAAAGAGAGUUAAAAAGCACGUGAAAUUGUUGAAAGGGAAGCGCUUGCAGCCAGACUUGCCUGUAGUUGCUCAUCCGGGUUUUUACCCGGUGCACUCUUCUAUAGGCAGGCCAGCAUCAGUUUGGGCGGUUGGAUAAAGGUCUCUGUCACGUACCUCCUCUCGGGGAGAACUUAUAGGGGAGACGUAAUGCAACCAGCCUGGACUGAGGUCCGCGCAUCUGCUAGGAUGCUGGCGUAAUGGCUGUAAGCGGCCCGUCUUGAAACACGGACCAAGGAGUCUAACAUCUAUGCGAGUGUUUGGGUGUCAAGCCCGAGCGCGUAAUGAAAGUGAACGGAGGUGGGAACCUUUCGGGGUGCACCAUCGACCGAUCCUGAUGUCUUCGGAUGGAUUUGAGUAAGAGCAUAGCUGUUGGGACCCGAAAGAUGGUGAACUAUGCUUGAAUAGGGUGAAGCCAGAGGAAACUCUGGUGGAGGCUCGCAGCGGUUCUGACGUGCAAAUCGAUCGUCAAAUUUGGGCAUAGGGGCGAAAGACUAAUCGAACUAUCUAGUAGCUGGUUCCUGCCGAAGUUUCCCUCAGGAUAGCAGUAACGUUUUCAGUUUUAUGAGGUAAAGCGAAUGAUUAGAGGCCUGGGGGUUGAAACAACCUUCACCUAUUCUCAAACUUUAAAUAUGUAAGAAGUCCUUGUUACUUAAUUGAACGUGGACAGUUGAAUGUAUCGUUACUAGUGGGCCAUUUUUGGUAAGCAGAACUGGCGAUGCGGGAUGAACCGAACGCGGGGUUAAGGUGCCAGAAUAUACGCUCAUCAGACACCACAAAAGGUGUUAGUUCAUCUAGACAGCAGGACGGUGGCCAUGGAAGUCGGAAUCCGCUAAGGAGUGUGUAACAACUCACCUGCCGAAUGAACUAGCCCUGAAAAUGGAUGGCGCUCAAGCGUAUUACCCAUACCCCGCCGCUGGGGCAAGAUUUAAGCCCCAGCGAGUAGGCAGGCGUGGAGGUC
rnacentral:rRNA from 1 species